UACGAUAAAGGCAAACCCUGAGUGAUCAGGGGACGCAAAGUAACAGGGUCUUCAAUUGAGUUUAGAGUUAUAUUUCGGAAGACAGCCUUACUGCCGAAG
rnacentral:ncRNA from 1 species